UAGUCCACGCCGUAAACGAUGUCUACUAGCCGUUGGGGUACUUGAGACCUUAGUGGCGCAGCUAACGCACUAAGUAGACCGCCUGGGGAGUACGGCCGCAAGGUUAAAACUCAAAUGAAUUGACGGGGGCCCGCACAAGCGGUGGAGCAUGUGGUUUAAUUCGAUGCAACGCGAAGAACCUUACCAGGUCUUGACAUCCAGAGAACUUUCCAGAGAUGGAUUGGUGCCUUCGGGAGCUCUGUGACAGGUGCUGCAUGGCUGUCGUCAGCUCGUGUCGUGAGAUGUUGGGUUAAGUCCCGUAACGAGCGCAACCCUUGUCCUUAGUUGCCAGCGCGUAAUGGCGGGAACUCUAAGGAGACUGCCGGUGACAAACCGGAGGAAGGUGGGGAUGAUGUCAAGUCAUCAUGGCCCUUAUGGGCUGGGCUACACACAUGCUACAAUGGUGGUUACAGUAGGACGCAAUGGAGCAAUCCGGAGCAAAUCCUCAAAGAUCAUCU
rnacentral:rRNA from 1 species